GGCCCCGUAGUCUAACGGUAGGGCGACUGGCUUACAUCCAGUUAGUGGGGGUUCAACUCCCUCCGGGGCUACCA
rnacentral:tRNA from 1 species